UACAGAGGGGGCAAGCGUUGUUCGGAAUUACUGGGCGUAAAGGGCGCGUAGGCGGCCGCCUAAGUCAGACGUGAAAUCCUUCGGCUCAACCGGGGAACUGCGUCUGAUACUGGGUGGCUUGAAUCCGGGAGAGGGAUGCGGAAUUCCAGGUGUAGCGGUGAAAUGCGUAGAUAUCGUAAGGAAGACCAGUGGCGAAGGCGGGUCUCUGGACAGUUCCUGACGCUGAGGCACGAAGGUCAGGGGAGCAAACGGG
rnacentral:rRNA from 1 species